rnacentral:lncRNA from 1 species
CCUGCAAUUUCAACCACUAUCAGACCAAGUCUUACUGAGUGCAGUAGAGACAGCUUAGAAUAGCAGGGAUGCAAAAGGAUGGCCACAGAAAUCUUAAUUUCCAAUUCAAUUAACAAAUGUGAAUCAAGAGAACAAAUGAAUAUCUAUACAGUUUCACAACAUCACCAUGCUAAACAGACUAGUUUGGAUCAAACAAACAUAGUGGCUCCGCUGCGCCAAAUGUCAAAGCCAAGCUGGACAGCUGUUAGAGGUAGGGAAAAUACGGGACGAAAUAAAUAAGGCAAGACUUUCAUGGACCAAAAAGUAAACAGAAGGAAAAAAAAAUAUGACGAGUCAGGAGAGGUAUGAUUAGAAAUGAAGAUAUUCCGGACAAGGUGGGAGCGUCCUUGGUGGAGGACAAGAUGCGGAAAGCGAGACUGAGAUGGUUUGGACAUGUGAAGAGGAGAUUCACAAAUGUGCCAAUGCGGAGGUGUGAGAAGUUGCUUAUGGAUGGUUUCAGAAAAGGUAGAGGCAGGCUGAAGAAAUAUUGAAAGAGGAUUAGACAAACAUGGCGCAACUCCAACUUACCAAAGAAAUGACCUUCGAUUGGAGGCUAUAGAGGACACGGAUAAAUUUUACAGGCUAAUAGGUACUUGAGAGUUGUCUCACCUAUUCUUUCAUACUAUCAGUGGUAGUAUUAUUCUUGUAGUUGCUUGUUCUAUCAUUACUGUUACUAUAUGUUGAGUUUUUUCUUGUAUAUCAAUUUUUGUUACUAUGUGUUGUUUCUAGUAGUAGUAUUCUGUUGUAGUUAUUGUGGAUUUUGCUUUCAUGUGCUGAAGGUGAGCUUUUGGGUUAAGAGUUUGAAGAUCAGUCUAGAAAUUAGGUUCAAGCUAGUUUACGGUUUGUAUGUUAGAUUUUUCUUCCACCAAAAAGAAUUGGUUGUCUUUCUGUUUGUACUAUAUAUAAAAGAGAGAGCCCUGAUACAUAUCUCUGCUCUGAGGCAAAAGGAACCCAUCCUUGUAAUUCGAAGAUUUCAUCGUUCAUUUGCUAAUUCGAUAUUGAAAAAAAUUGUUUGAUCAAUUGGUUUCAUUAUAAGAAAGUGCAUUGGAAUGCGGAUAUACUAAAUGAUAAAUAAAAUGUGAUAAAUUGCACCAACUUCUCCAUACAAGGGAAACUAUUAUUUUGACGAGAAUUCUUACUUUGGUUAUUCAUAUAUAAGCUAAGCAAUUAAUUUUUUAUGAUCACUAAAAGCUUUAUAUGAUGUCAAGCUCAUGAUAUCAGUGAAUGAAGCCUUCAGCACAAGGACAUGCUUCGGUGAUAUCUCUAAAAGUAGAUUUCACAUUGACUCUUCUUUGCUAUGCUGAAGUGUUUCAUGUAUAAAAUUUCUUUUAGUUUAUAUUUUCAUUUAGGAAUCUGAGAUUUUUGCUUAAGGUUUUAUAUCGGGGUUAAGACAUGGAGCAAACAAUCAAAAAGAUUCCAAAUGUAAAAUAGGAGUUUUUUAGAGUUCAAGUAGAAAAGAAUGGCAAGUAUGGAGAAGAAGCUGCUAUUGUGAUCUGCAAGAAGCUCACAUUAUCGGGAGAUCAGGAAUUAAAUUUCUCUCUAUUGUCUGCUUGCUUUCUAUAGCUUCUUGGUGUUGUUGGAUAUAUUGCGACACCUCGUGGUCUGCGCUGCCUCGACACUGUUUGGAUUAAUCAUCUCAGUGAACAGCUGAAUAGGUUCUAAAAGAACUGAUGCAAAUCCAAGAAGAAACAGAAGAAGUAUGUUGUAUCAUCCAUAUGUUGGCUCACACUCAGGUACUAAAUCUGAAUGUUAUCUCUAAGAGAUUGUUUAUGUUCGAGAUACUGGUAAUAAGAGGUGCUAUAAGAACUAGUACCUAAAUGGUAGUUGCACUUCGUAAAGUAAAAUAAGCUCACAUUAUACAUAGACUAUUGCUUAUUAUUAUCUGUUUAAUCUUCAGUAUGAAUUAAUAUUUGGGUUCAUCUAUAUUUAUGUAUCUUGAUCUAUGCAAGACUGGAACAACAGAAUCAAUAUUAAACAAAGGUAUAUAAGCUUAUCUCCUUCAGACUAGUAUAUAAAAAAAUGGCAUGUUCAUGUCAACAAAGAGACAUUUGGAUAUAUGUAGUUAAACUGUUUAAGUUGUAUUAUUAAACCAGGCAUGUUGGGUCCAUGCCCAGCGUCGGCUAUAGCCAAUCUAGUCUUAUAGUACGAGCAUAAUUAGUUUAAUGCAUUUACAACAAAUUGACAUGAUAUUUUUCUCAAUCCACACCCCUGAACAACUGAAUUCUCCAAGUGUCACAUUUGUACCUUUUUUCCUUUUUAUGUGGAUUGUCUGGCCCUUAGACGGGCGGGUGGGCCUACAUUCUGCUCUACUGUACAGGUAUCAUUUGUUAUUACAGUAUAGAUCUUACUUCAGUUUCAUCAUCAGUGAGACUGAAGCCAUCUUUCUAGAAAGUCUAAUAGCUUAUUGUAAUCCUCCUGCAACCCUUUCAAAUAAACCCUCUAGUAUUCAGUGUUAAUCAUCUUCCGGAAAAGAGUAGAAGAAUGGGACAUAUCAUUACGGUAUGUUCUUUCAAGGUAAACGGGACUUUUUUGCGAAAAAGCAAUAAACUAUGAUAGGUAGACAACAUUGUCAAAAUCUUAC